UGAUGUGGCCCACGUAGCAGUGGGACCCACGGCGAAUGAUUCUUAGAGUCCGCAAAAAGGAUAAUAAUCGAUGAUCCGCAGUUGCGUGCUUGGGCGAGAGUAGUACUAGGAUGGGUGACCUCCGGGAAGUCCUCGUGUUGCAUCCC